AUGAUCCGCUGGGCGGGGGCGCUGGUACCUUCAACAGCAGCACAGCGGGGGACAAAGAAGAAGAUUGGGGCUGCCUGGACGAAGAUCGGGAGCUGCACCACCACUAGCAUAAGCAGCAGAGGCGGAGGAAGAUGGCAACAGCAGAAGAGGCCGGAGUGGCGGAAGGGGGCAUGCCGGCGGCCGAAGCGGACGGCCCAGGCCCUGCGAGCGGCACAGGUAGGCGGCGGUGGUCACCUCUGUGGCAGCUGCGCAGGUGGGCGGCGGUGCUGGGUCGCAAGCAAGACGACAAGGAGAUGCCGCCCAUCAGUCAUGGAGCCGCCGCCCGUCGAGUUGUCGCCGGAGAGGAGCAGGCGGGCGGAUGCGAAGCUCGCCUCCGUGUGCGCACGUAAGCAGGGGAGGCGCAAGUUUGCAGCAGCGGGGCAGGUGGGUGGCGGCGCAAGUGGGACUUCGUCGCCGGCUGAUCCCUACGACGGCUGGGGCACGCUGUGCCCGCCGGCGACGGGGGGAGCCGGAGGCUGGGGCGCGCGGUGCCCGUGGGCGUCGGGGGAGGAAGAAGGGCAGAUUAGCAUGAGAUUUAAAAUGAUAAGGUCUUUUUGA
rnacentral:rRNA from 1 species